GAUGAACGCUGGCGGCGUGCCUAAUACAUGCAAGUCGAGCGAACGGACGAGAAGCUUGCUUUUCUGAUGUUAGCGGCGGACGGGUGAGUAACACGUGGAUAACCUACCUAUAAGACUGGGAUAACUUCGGGAAACCGGAGCUAAUACCGGAUAAUAUUUUGAACCGCAUGGUUCAAAAGUGAAAGACGGUCUUGCUGUCACUUAUAGAUGGAUCCGCGCUGCAUUAGCUAGUUGGUAAGGUAACGGCUUACCAAGGCAACGAUGCAUAGCCGACCUGAGAGAGUGAUCGGCCACACUGGAACUGAGACACGGUCCAGACUCCUACGGGAGGCAGCAGUAGGGAAUCUUCCGCAAUGGGCGAAAGCCUGACGGAGCAACGCCGCGUGAGUGAUGAAGGUCUUCGGAUCGUAAAACUCUGUUAUUAGGGAAGAACAGAUGUGUAAGUAACUGUGCACAUCUUGACGGUACCUAAUCAGAAAGCCACGGCUAACUACGUG
rnacentral:rRNA from 1 species